rnacentral:rRNA from 1 species
UCACUAAAACUGGGCCCAGUUCAGAUUGAAGUCUGCAACUCGACUUCAUGAAGCCGGAAUCGCUAGUAAUGGCGCAUCAGCUACGGCGCCGUGAAUACGUUCCCGGGCCUUGUACACACCGCCCGUCACAUCAUGGAAGUCGCUUGUAGCCGAAGUCGGCGUGCUAACCGCAAGGAGGCAGCCGCCUACGCUAUGAGCGGUAACUGGGAUGAAGUCGUAACAAGGUAGCCGUAGGGGAACCUGCGGCUGGAUCACCUCCUUUCUAAGGA